GAAGAGAAAUUCAGCUCCCUUUGCUAAAACAAAAUAGCACUUCUCAGUCCUCUGUGGUGUAGGGGCGCAGGACGCUGGGGUGUGCCAGACCCAUCUUAUCAGUUCCGUUAUGGCCUCAUUAACUGAGAGGGCUACCUUACUUGGGCCCUGAGACUGCAGAAUGUCCAACAGUCAGUGGUGUGGGUCUUGGACAUCCUCCAGAGAUAUAAGGAGAUUGUUAGCCACUCUUCGUAAUAAGUACUAGUAUUGCUUGUAGUCAUCUGAGGAGGAUGAGGAGGAAGGAGAAACCAUCUCAUCUGGGGAAGAGGACGCAAUUCCCAUCAGAAUCGUUGGUACCUACAGCUCCAGUUCAACAUCCACCUCAUCCUCAUACAGCGAUGGAACAGGCUGUUGACAUAUGGGAGAAGAAUAAGAAAGACUCCUGAGUGGGUCCCGGACGUCUGGUAUAGGGAUCCCACAGCCCCCAAUAAGGCCAUAAAGAGGGGCCAACCAUUUGAGGGGGAACCCAUGGCAUGGAAAACCAUCAGUCCCUAGGGAGGUCAUGUCCAUAAGGGUAGCGACUGUAAGUCCUGGAUCGCCUAUCCACGUUUGGCUUUCUCUAUGGCAAUGAAGGAGGGACGGCUCAUCAGAUUGAUCCAAUGUCAGUACCGAGGCAAUCCUGCCCAGCAGUUGCUGAAGUAAGAGUGGACUCCGGAUCCCAACUCAGAUCAUGCAGUGGUAAGAAAGAACUUAGGGGGCGUUGACCCGUACUGUUUCUUCUACCCUCACUUGGGAGUACGAGGAAGUGUGUGUGUGUGGGCCAAUGGGCACUGCUUGCUAAAAUCUCUGGACUCUGGCACAUGGUGUGCAUGCGUACCCAUUUGUGGAAUACACAUAGAGAUCAGCACUCAAAGAAGGUUGGAUUAUAAAACAUUUGCAUGUUCUCUAGGUCUUCAUAAGCCUUGGCCUGCUAUACAAUAGGUUAAUUUGCUCAGACUCAAACUGGUAACUGUGAUAAUGAGGCCUAACUUGAGGGGAUCAAUUGCUAAGUCUUAGGAGGCUUGGUCUUGUAACAAUAACUCCUGCCACACAACAGGUAACCCUGACUCAUGGCAAAUAAUCAGGUCCAAGAAAUAAAGUUCAGCCUCUUCCUAGAACUCUUGGGUGUCACAACUUUAUUACAUGAUGUUGGAAAUCUGGAAAGAGAAAUCGAAGAUUAAAUUCUCUAGACUGUUAUAUGAGGACUCCAGAUGCACUGGAAUUCUACAAUACAGAGAACAGGAAACUGCUAGACAAAGUCAUUCAAAAAUUUCAAGAAUACUGUGAUUCUGUCAAAAAUAUCACUUGGAAAAAGGUACAUUUUCUCUACAAGAAGCCAACAAAGCUAAAUGAGAUUCCUGAUCACUUUUGGUAUAAGGCUGGUGCAGAUCUAUUUGAAUGGAACAGUAAAGAUUACUUAUCAGCGAACCACCAUUUUUUUAAUGGAGCUGUUGGACACUGUAAAUUGCAGUUUUCUUGCCAUGAGAUUCCACAUCAAUUAAGAUGCAGGUUAUCUUGCACCUUCCUAUGAAGCGUCCGGUUCUGACCACUUUUGGAAACCGGAUACUGGACUAGAUAGACCACAAGUCUGAUCCAGUCUGUAUGCAGCCAUAAUAUAUAAUGCCCUUAAAAAGUCACAACUGACUCAUUUUGGCAAUUCUUUUCACUAUAUGACUUCAAGCACACCAUAACAAGUCUGUCGUAUACACAGUCAAAUGGAAUACCAAAAAGUCAGAACAAACAGAAUUUGAUUUAAAUAUGCCCUGGCAGCGUCAAGAGAUCCAUGUUUAGAACUUUUAGAAUAACACAACAGUACUCACAAGUCUUUAUUGGAAACACCAGUACAGAGACACAUGGCAGAAGAACAAAUACCUUAGGGCCAAGAUCUAACAAGUCCCUUUAGGGACAGACAAUUAACCCUGACGUAAUUACAAAGAAUUAUGCACCAGAAAACAGAAGAGAGAUGACAAGAAUGCCAAACAGUUAAUCCCAUUCCACAUGGGAGAGAAUGCUAGGCCCCAAACAGGAAGCAUCUGGCAGCCUACCGAGUAAACAGCUAUACCCUUCUCAACAACUUACACCAUAACUACCCCUGAGCAUCAGUCCUAAAGGAGGAACGGACAACAUCUAAAUUAAACGAAGGAAGAUGCUGGCUUUAUUCCUCAAAGGCAUUCAAAAUCCUAUAGAAGUGUUCAUGAAUUGACAGAAAUAGAAUAUCCCCACCCAGUCACAGACAAUUGAGUAGUAGCAAAUGCAGGUUCCAAUUGGCAGACUCACCUCAGUGGCUGAACAGACCACAGCAGAAGGAACUGUUCUGGAAGUAAGAAAGGGCUAUGAGAUCAGAAGCCAGAGAUUCAAAGAUGGUAUUUGUCAACAUAUCUCCAAUAAAAGGAAGAAUAAUCCUCUCAUCUGUCAGGGAGUUCAGGUAAUCUAGCAUGACUCCUCCAUUGGUGUCUUUUGCCAGUUGCCUGCAUUCAUCUGUGAUUGUUGUUUUUGACCAGUAUGUUUAACAAGCUUGCACUCAACUCAACGGCAUUCUCUGACUAUCUGCUAUAUCUUUGUACCAUGACAACUUUUGAAUGCCGCAUCCGAUCAAUUCCAACGUUUCAGGGAAUGUUCUAGGCAUCAAUGUCCAGAUCCCUAUUGAUUUGGGGGGAAAUCAAAAACCAAAUGGGGAGACUGGAGGAACAUAAGCCCUGGCAGCUCUUUAGCACACCCACUCCUUCAAGUUCCUCUGCAAUUCUCUAUAUAUCAAACAACUGGUUGGUGGUACCCUUUAAUGCCUUGCAGAAUAACAAUACACCUAUUUAAUCUC